GCUGAGCAGGAAGCUGUACAACAACCGGUUUGACAAGUUACAAGUGGUGGACCUACAUCAUCUAGAUGUACAGUUAACAACUCUACCUCGAUUCGAUGCAGUGGGAGAGGUUGAAGUUGACGUUCAAGCAGUCACCCUGGCGAACAAGAAAUCUUUCAGGCCAAGAGGCUAGGUGACUAGAAACUCAAUCACUAUAUCCGUGAAACUUGUCGGGAGCACUGUUAUUUGUGGAGGUCGGACCGAAACUGUAAUCAGACACUAAACAUUGACGAGGACCAAUUACUCUACUCCUUCAAUGAUUAAUAAAGAUCGCUGAUUGCUUUUACUAAUGUAUAGUGUUAAAAUGAAAGAGAAAUUGUUGAGACGGAAGAGAAAAAGGCACUCAUUUAUUUAUAGUUUUAUGUCUUGACAAUGAUAUUCGAAAGCUAAUUUUAAAAACUGGCUCUGAACCCUUGCUAAAUGAUUUAGGAAGGUGUACGGGAUAAAUAUGCCUGUAGACAUCAUUUUCAGUGGGUUUUAUGAAGUUUAUGAUU